AGAGUUUGAUCAUGGCUCAGGAUGAACGCUAGCUACAGGCUUAACACAUGCAAGUCGAGGGGCAGCAUUGGAGUAGCAAUACUCAGAUGGCGACCGGCGCACGGGUGAGUAACACGUAUCCAACCUGCCGCUUACUCGGGGAUAGCCUUUCGAAAGAAAGAUUAAUACCCGAUGGUAUAAAGAGUUCGCAUGUUCUCUUUAUUAAAGAAUUUCGGUAAGCGAUGGGGAUGCGUUCCAUUAGAUAGUUGGCGGGGUAACGGCCCACCAAGUCUACGAUGGAUAGGGGUUCUGAGAGGAAGGUCCCCCACAUUGGAACUGAGACACGGUCCAAACUCCUACGGGAGGCAGCAGUGAGGAAUAUUGGUCAAUGGACGAGAGUCUGAACCAGCCAAGUAGCGUGAAGGAUGACUGCCCUAUGGGUUGUAAACUUCUUUUAUAAGGGAAUAAAGUGAGGGACGUGUCCCUUUUUGUAUGUACCAUAUGAAUAAGGAUCGGCUAACUCCGUGCCAGCAGCUGC
rnacentral:rRNA from 1 species